rnacentral:rRNA from 1 species
UGAUUGAUGACUUUGGUUUAGUGGUAACAAGGUAACCGUAUGGGAACCUGGUGUUGGAUCACCUCCUUACCUUAAAGAA